GGUAGGGAAAUCAAUUGUUUUAGGGCUCAUAACCCGAAGGCCGCAGGUUCAAAUCCUGCCCCCGCUA
rnacentral:tRNA from 1 species